GUGUCAGCAGCCGCGGUAAUACGAAGGGUGCAAGCGUUACUCGGAAUUACUGGGCGUAAAGCGUGCGUAGGUGGUUCGUUAAGUCAGAUGUGAAAGCCCCGGGCUCAACCUGGGAAUUGCAUUUGAUACUGGCGGGCUAGAGUGCGGUAGAGGAGAGUGGAAUUCCCGGUGUAGCAGUGAAAUGCGUAGAGAUCGGGAGGAACAUCAGUUGCGAAGGCGGCUCUCUGGACCAGCACUGACACUGAGGCACGAAAGCGUGGGGAGCAAACAGGAUUAGAUACCCUGGUAGUCCACGCCCUAAACGAUGCGAACUGGACGUUGGGAGCAAUCAGGCUCUCAGUGUCGAAGCUAACGCGUUAAGUUCGCCGCCUGGGGAGUACGGGCGCAAGACUGAAACUCAAAGGAAUUGACGG
rnacentral:rRNA from 1 species